AAAAUCUCCCCCAAACAGUCAUCUUUCUUCAAAAAUAAAUCUUUUCGACGAUUGCGAUUCUGAAAACGAUUUUGACGUCAAACCCUCCUUGUCGUUUUCAGCGAGCGCCGUUACUUCCCAAUUGACGCAUGCCAUUUCUUCCUAGCAAAUCCUCAAUCCACCAAAGCCGGUCGAGUUUUCACAAUCGACGACCACCAUCAAAUCUAUCACCGUCUGGAAGAAGUGUCGCCGCUAUCGAAGAAGCAAUGUCCCGUCGUCCAGCAGUUGUUCCCAGAUUUACCAACCGACGUUCCCAAAAUUAAUGCACCUGUAGGAAUCAAAUGCAAGGGUUAGUUUUCUUCUUUCAUGAUUCCUCUGUUUUUCAUUCUUGUUCUCUAGAUCUUCGACUUCGGAUGAGUUUCCGAUUGGUUCUUUAACCUAUAUAUAUUUUCAUUCUUUUUCUCUAUUUUUUUCGAUUCCGGAUGAGUUUCCGAUUGGUUUUUUAAAUAUAUAUGAGUGUGUGCGCGCGCACGCGCACGCUAAGUUUGUGCAUGUUGAUCCUUAUUUAGGCAUUGGUACAAUAAGAGAUCAAUAUAUUAAUUGAUUUUCACGAUUCUGAUUUUGAUUCUCUAUUUCUUUUAUUGAUUUGUUGGUUGUCGAAUUUGUUGCCUGAAUAUAUUUUUAGUUGUUGAAUUUGCACAUAUAGGUACUUAUGAUGCAUAUUGUAGUCGGUACCCAUUGUUACAUAAGAGCUGCAUAGGUACUGAUUGCUACAUAAACCUAAAAUUAACCAAAUAUUAUAUUGUUUGGUUCCUGUAAUCAAUCACCUUGGUGCGUGCUGUCUCAUUGUAUAUAUUAAUGGUCCUAUAUUUGUUAAAUGUGUUAAACAGGAGUUUUGAAUCUAUUGUUGGGUUGGUGGAACUGUAUUUGAAAGGUACAUCAGCUUCAAAAAUUGAUGCCUUGAAAUCAAUUGGGUUUGGUGGAACUACAACGGUACAUCUUGGUUUGAUGUGCGAGGAUUUCAAUCGGUGGGCCGUAGAAAUUUACGAUGUUGGAACAAAUUCCUUUUACUUCAUCAAGGGCGACGCUUUUCAAUAACUGCAGAAAAUGUGAAAAGAGUGUAUGGCAUAAACAUAAACAAUAUGUUCUACAAAUGAACUGCAAAUACAAUCAGAACUAUUAUUGAAAAUAAUGGAUUUGAAAUGUUAUAAAUUAAAGGCGGAUAGUUCGGUGAAAAUAUACAUCCGGUUUAAACGCUAUAUGACAAAAUAUUAUUGUACAGUUUAAAAAAAUAUUAUAUUAAUACCUAAAUAUGUAAAAAAUAUACAAAUGGAUCUCCCAAGAUUUUUUAUUAAUUUAAAUUAAUGAAACCAUUAAUCUCCCACAAUCUCACUCCCAUAACGAGCCUUCAAGGAUGUCCACAAAUGACAAAACCAACUAAAUCAGCAUACAAUCUUUCAAGGUUACUGAAUAAACCACAAAUGACGUAUCAAGAGACUUGUUUGGGUGGGUUCGUGAACGUGAGCACGACGGCCGAGUCGAAGAUGAUGAGUUCAUGAACCGUUCGAUGGAGCUUACUACCAACGGCCUAGAUAUCGUCACCGGAUCUCGCCGGCUUUUCUGUUCUUGAAUGAAUAAAUAAUUUUCCUACAGUGCAACUCCUAAUUUUCUUCAGAUAGCCUCACAAUCUUGCUUCUCAUCGCUUGUAAUUUUCUCCUCCUUUGUAUACGAAUAAAAUUGUUUAUUGGAUUCAUAGAUUCAGUAAAAUAAUCGUUUAUUUUACAUCAGGUUGGUUCGUUAUUUUAAAUAUAUUUUUUGGGAGAUAUUUCGAUAAUUUUUUUUUA
rnacentral:lncRNA from 1 species